UAAGAGGGGAUGCAUUUAACGAGUUAAAAGAAAAAUUUAACAUCAAAGACGAGGAAGAAACCAUUGAUGACUUGGGCCAUUUGAAAAGGAGAAAAUCUGAUUUACCGAAUCAGCUUUUAGCAAAAAUUGAAGGGGUUACUGAUUAUUCCAAGGCCACAAAAACGCUAUUUAGGACCCUUUACAAGGAAGAGGAGUAUCACGGCCGGUCCUUGUGUGGCGGAAAGCCGAAUAAGAGGUACCUGGCAAGGCCACCACUUGAAGACCAAACAAAACUGCACAUAAUAUAUGAUAUUAUUCAUGAAAAGUAUGGCCAAGGACCAUCAAAUAUCAAAGAAAAGUUAAGGGAGAUAUUAAAACCAACACUAAACAAAUGAAGAGACUUGAUAUGAUGUGUUUGUGUCCAUAAAUAUUAAAGAUGUUCAAAGAAUUUUUAUAGUUAUCUUUUUGUUUAUGAAAUGUUAAAAAGUCAGAUUACAGAAGUUAAGGUUCAAAUGUAUGAUUGAAUGAGAAUGCAUCUUGAAAUAAAAGAUAGUUAUAUCAUUA